rnacentral:tRNA from 1 species
GGGCCCGUGGCGUAACAGGAGAGCGCAUCCGGCUUCGGACCGGAGGUGUGCGGGUUCGAAUCCCGUCGGGCCCA